UACGUAGGGUGCAAGCGUUAAUCGGAAUUACUGGGCGUAAAGCGUGCGCAGGCGGUUGUGCAAGACAGAUGUGAAAUCCCCGGGCUCAACCUGGGAAUUGCAUUUGUGACUGCACGGCUAGAGUGUGUCAGAGGGGGGUAGAAUUCCACGUGUAGCAGUGAAAUGCGUAGAGAUGUGGAGGAAUACCGAUGGCGAAGGCAGCCCCCUGGGAUAACACUGACGCCUCAUGCACGAAAGCGUGGGAGCAAACAGG
rnacentral:rRNA from 1 species